GAGUUUGAUCCUGGCUCAGAACGAACGCUGGCGGCGCGUCUUAAGCAUGCAAGUCGAACGGUAAGGGAGAGCUUGCUCUCCCCUAGAGUGGCGGACUGGUGAGUAACGCGUGGGUGACCUGCCCUGAAGAUGGGGAUAGCUAGUAGAAAUAUUAGAUAAUACCGAAUGUGCUCAUUUACAUAAAGGUAAAUGAGGAAAGGAGCUACGGCUCCGCUUCAGGAUGGGCCCGCGUCCCAUUAGCUAGUUGGUGAGGUAAAGGCCCACCAAGGCAACGAUGGGUAUCCGGCCUGAGAGGGUGAACGGACACAUUGGGACUGUGAUACGGCCCAAACUCCUACGGGAGGCAGCAGCUAAGAAUCUUCCGCAAUGGACGAAAGUCUGACGGAGCGACGCCGUGUGAAUGAAGAAGGCCGAAACGGUUGUAAAAUUCUUUUGCAGAUGAAGAAUAACCACAGGAGGGAAUGCCCCUGUGAGAUGA
rnacentral:rRNA from 1 species